UCUUCGGGGAUGAUUAAACCGGCGCACGGGUGAGUAACACGUGAGUGACCUGCCUUUUAGACUGGAACAACUUACCGAAAGGUGAGCUAAUGCCGGAUGAGUUAUAUAAGUGCAUGUUUAUAUAGGAAAAGUUGGGGAGACCUGACGCUGAAAGAUGGACUCGCGUCCCAUUAGCUAGUUGGUAGGGUAAUGGCCUACCAAGGCGACGAUGGGUAGCCGGCCUGAGAGGGUGGCCGGCCACACUGGGACUGAGACACGGCCCAGACUCCUACGGGAGGCAGCAGUGGGGAAUUUUGCGCAAUGCUCGUAAGAGUGACGCAGCGACGCCGCGUGAAUGACGAAGGCCUUCGGGUCGUAAAGUUCUUUCGACAGGGAAGAAAAUGCCUAUAAGUAACUGUGUAUGUAUUGACGGUACCUGUAUAAGCAGCCCCGGCUAACUCCGCGCCAGCAGCCGCGGUAAUACGGAGGGGGCGAGCGUUGUUCGGAGUGACUGGGCGUAAAGAGCACGUAGGCGGUGUUGUAAGUCAUUAGUCAAAGACUAGAGCUCAACUUUAGUAAGGCUAGUGAUACUAUAAUACUAGAGUAUCAGAGAGGAUUGCAGAAUUCCUGGUGUAGCGGUGAAAUGCGUAGAUAUCAGGAGGAAUACCGUUAGCGAAGGCGGCAAUCUGGCUGGAAACUGACGCUGAGGUGCGAAAGCGUGGGUAGCAAACAGGAUUAGAUACCCUGGUAGUCCACGCUGUAAACGAUGGAUGCUAGGUGUUGGGCUUUUAAG
rnacentral:rRNA from 1 species